ensembl:lncRNA
UUGGUUUUCAAGCUAAAGUAAAAGACCACUUCUUAAACCAGAGAAAGUGAACAUGUUGGUAUUCUUGUGAGAAAAAAACAAACAAAAAACAUGUGUGUCCUGUCUGUAGUUUAGUUUUACAUUUCUUUUUGUUGUUAUUUUGAAAAGUCUGUUAUCUUUGCUGUUUACCUUACUAUGGUGGCUUUCCUUAUUUUUAUUUGAUUCCUCAGUGAUUGCUAAACAUUCUGUAAUUUAUUAGUCGGUAUAUAAUAUAGUAUGUGGUUUAUGCAAUGCGUCAUCUUAUUCGUUUUUGUUAAUAAACGUUAUGUAAGCUAGUUUGUCAUUGUAGCCUGCUGUUUUAUUGUUGUUGUGCUUUUUAAUUAAGAAUAAUAAUGAAUCCAUCUUUUGUUUUAGUCUUAAAAAGUGAAAGGUGUACAGAUACAAGCAAAACAGACAAUUAUCUUUUCUUUGGUAACACUUUUGUUACCAUCUAACUAUAAACUAUGCUAAAAUUUCAUCAGCAUGCAUUGAUUAAUCCCAUGUUGUAGCAAAAAAAAAUUAAAAUAAAAAAUUAGGACCAAAUUGUGUGUUUGUUCGACCAACUGAGAAAGUCGCAAAAGAGCGACCAGUGGGAAGAAUGAGUCUAGAGCCCUGUAGUAGUAGUAGUAGUUUUUAACUUCAAAAUAUCUUAAGAGGAUUACAUAUUUCAUUUAUUAUUUAUAACAUCAUUCCAAAUAAUACAACAUUAUAACAUCCAUUAUUAUUAAUAUUAAUAAUAAUUGUUUUUAAUUUAAAAAUAUCCGAGAUGGUGAGAUCUGAAAUUAACUAAUUAAUUAAUCAAGUUGUUUAUUUGUUUUACCUUCAAAAAAUCCUAAGAAGAUGAGAUCUGAUAGGACAGGAAAGCAGAAAGACGGUAAAACUGAGUGAAUGUAGAACUUGUGUGGAUAGUGUUUUGUGAUUCUAGUCUGGUAGUUCUUUGUUCAGGUUGCCCUUUGAUUCAACACCUUUGAAAAGUGUACGAUUGGUGUAUGUACACAAGGCCUUUUCAUGAUACCCAGCUUUGAGCGAAAAUAACGUCAAGUCUGGUGUAAGUGUAGUCAGAAGGUGUGUUGGUUCUUCAGACUGCUUGUGUGUGGAUAUAGCAGUUCAGGAUUAUGAAACAGGAUCUACUUUUGUUACACAAAUAAGAACUAAAUUACUUCCUGUUAAUAAAUCUAUAUCUGAUAGGUUACGGCUGUGCAAUACAUUGAGUUUCUCCACAGUUUUGUCUUCUUAAAUGUCUUCAUUGAAAGGAGAGGAUACUGGUUCAAUACCUGUCCACUCGCUUUUCAUGCAAACAAUAUUUAUUCUGCCAUUGCUUUAGAAGAACUUUGGCCUGUGCUCUGACUGUGCACUAAAAGUGGAGUGGCUGUAUAUUUUGCUGUUGUCUGAAAGAUCUCCAUGUUGAAGCAAUAAAAGGCUUUUCUUCCAGUUGCGUUCCUCCCUUUAGCCGUUAUAGAGUGCCUCUCACUAAACAAAUUGCACAUCACUCUACCUCGCGGGCCAGCAUAGAGCGAGCAAUGUUUUGAAAGCUUGAGAUUAUUGGGCUACCAUACGUGCAGCAACUUACCAAGAGAGAUGGAGAGCAUUGUAUAACAGUUAUUGUGCGCUCACAAAAAGGAACAUAAUAUGUACUAAAACCCCAUUUGACUAGUAAUUGUUUCUCAGGGGAGCUUCUGUAAAAUAAUGUUUGCAUGUUGUCAGGUAAAGUUGCAUCAGAUGUAGUCAGUCAUGUGACUUUUCUAGUGUGGUGUUGAACAAGCUAAAACCUUUAGGCUUUAUUCAGGUGGUGACUGUUUUGUCAAUUACAGGUGAAUUUAUUGCUGUUCUUUCUCCAUCGUUAUUGUUUUUUCUCCAUUAUCCAGGAGAAAAUUCCCAGGUGGUUAUUAUUAUUUCCCAUUAUUUUUUAUUGUUUGGUAAACCGUAAAUGAUUUUGAGAUCAAGUUUUGAUGUAGACCGUUUUUUCCGCUCUUUCAAAAUGAUUUAAUUAUUGUGUGUAAAGAAUGAGAUUUACUGUAGAUUGAAAGAUUUAGUUGCAUUUCCCAAGUGAAUAAAGUUAUCACUUGUAAAAAGAAACAUAAGUCUUGCAAAAUAAAGAUGCAAAGGUUCAGUGAUAAAUAUUCAGUGAAUUAGUGAGUUGUUGACUCAGGAAAGAAUUCAAUUCAGACUCAUGAAUGAAUCAUUCCAUCUGGUUUAAGAAUGAUUCAGCCACUCCACUUCACAAACAAACCAUUCAUUUGGUUUUGUAAACAAGUCAUUCUUUCCAGUUUGUGAGUGACUCAAUCAUUUCAUUUUCAUGAAAUCAUUGCAUUUUCCUUUCUGAGACCAGUACUGUCA